rnacentral:rRNA from 1 species
GACGAACGCUGGCGGCGUGCUUAACACAUGCAAGUCGAGCGGUAAGGCCUUUCGGGGUACACGAGCGGCGAACGGGUGAGUAACACGUGGGUGAUCUGCCCUGCACUUCGGGAUAAGCCUGGGAAACUGGGUCUAAUACCGGAUAUGACCUCCUAUCGCAUGGUGGGUGGUGGAAAGAUUUAUCGGUGCAGGAUGGGCCCGCGGCCUAUCAGCUUGUUGGUGGGGUAAUGGCCUACCAAGGCGACGACGGGUAGCCGACCUGAGAGGGUGACCGGCCACACUGGGACUGAGACACGGCCCAGACUCCUACGGGAGGCAGCAGUGGGGAAUACUGCACAAUGGGCGAAAGCCUGAGGCAGCGACGCCGCGUGAGGGAUGACGGCCUUCGGGUUGUAAACCUCUUUCAGCAGGGACGAAGCGCAAGUGACGGUACCUGCAGAAGAAGCACCGGCUAACUACGU